CCACAAAAUAUCUUGCUAGGAGGCCGAUCCCCUUGGGCCUCUUAUAGUGUCCUAUGCUAGAGCCAACUGUGACCCCGAACCAUUGCUUGGCCUCUGUGUCUGUAGGCUGCUGGAACUGAAGUGUGUUGCACAGCG
ensembl:snoRNA